UACGUAGGGUGCGAGCGUUAAUCGGAAUUACUGGGCGUAAAGCGUGCGCAGGCGGGCUUUUAAGCCAGACGUGAAAUCCCCGGGCUUAACCUGGGAAUGGCGUUUGGGACUGGGAGUCUGGAGUGCGGCAGAGGAGACUGGAAUUCCCGGUGUAGCAGUGAAAUGCGUAGAUAUCGGGAGGAAUACCGAUGGCGAAGGCAGGUCUCUGGGCUGACACUGACGCUCAUGCACGAAAGCGUGGGGAGCAAACAGG
rnacentral:rRNA from 1 species